GCUGGGCGAGGUGGCACGUGCCUGUAGUCCCAGCUACUCAGGAGGCUGAGGUGGGAGGAUCGCUUGAGCCCAGGAGUUCUGGGCUGUAGUGCACUAUGCCGAUCGGGUGUCUGCACUAAAUUCGGCAUCAAUAUGGUGACCUCUCAGGAGUGAGGGACCACCAGGUUGCCUAAGAAGGGGUGACCCGGCCCAGGUCAGAAACGGAGCAGGUCAAAAUUCCCAUGCUGAUCAGUCAUGGGAUUGUGCCUGGGAGCAGCCACUGCACUCCAGCCUGGGCAACAUAGUGAGACCCCGUCUCU
rnacentral:SRP_RNA from 1 species